UACGGAGGGUGCAAGCGUUAUCCGGAUUCACUGGGUUUAAAGGGUGCGUAGGAGGGCAGGUAAGUCAGUGGUGAAAUCUCCAAGCUUAACUUGGAACUGCCGUUGAUACUAUCUGUCUUGAAUACCGUGGAGGUGAGCGGAAUAUGUCAUGUAGCGGAUGAAAUGCUUAGAUAUGACAUAGAACACCAAUUGCGAAGGCAGCUCGCUAAGCACGAAUAU
rnacentral:rRNA from 1 species